rnacentral:rRNA from 1 species
GAUGAACGCUGGCGGCGUGCCUAAUACAUGCAAGUCGAGCGAACGGACGAGAAGCUUGCUUCUCUGAUGUUAGCGGCGGACGGGUGAGUAACACGUGGAUAACCUACCUAUAAGACUGGGAUAACUUCGGGAAACCGGAGCUAAUACAGGAUGAUAUUUUGAACCGCAUGGUUCAAAAGUGAAAGACGGUCUUGCUGUCACUUAUAGAUGGAUCCGCGCUGCAUUAGCUAGUUGGUAAGGUAACGGCUUACCAAGGCAACGAUGCAUAGCCGACCUGAGAGGAUGAUCGGCCACACUGGAACUGAGACACGGUCCAGACUCCUACGGGAGGCAGCAGUAGGGAAUCUUCCGCAAUGGGCGAAAGCCUGACGGAGCAACGCCGCGUGAGUGAUGAAGGUCUUCGGAUCGUAAAACGCUUUUAUUAGGGAAGAACAUAUGUGUAAGUAACUGUGCACAUCUUGACGGUACCGAAUCAGAAAGCCACGGCUAACUACGUG